UAUAAACAUUUAACUAAAAUGUAUAUGAAUCAUUAUUACUCCUCUGGUGGGUUUUUUCCGAUAUGUUUUUAGAAAUUAUUAUUGAUUUAAUGAUCCUAACACCUGUGAUCUUGGUUAUUGUAAUUCUGUACACUUUACAGGCGGUUAUAGAUGUGGAACCUAUUAUCAAGACAGUUAUUGGUUGUCUGGCUGUACCAAUCUCCUGUAUUUUCCUGUUUGUAUUUCAAAUCAAAACUCUACCAGAACGUUGGAAUUCACUUAAAUGGUUUAUCAAAAUCAGAGAUACUUUGAUGCUUAUCUUUUACGUAGUAUUCCCCGCCACAUGGCUGAUUUUCCUUUGUUGCUUUUUCCAUGAGUUAGAUAUCAAUAAAGCGGCGCACAUAAUUUAAAGGACUUGGAGGACCUCCGAGGACUCUUGAGCCACAAUUCCAUUCAUCAUCAACAUGAUUAGCUGAAAAUUUGUGGAAGAUGCCUGUAAUGAAUGGAAACUCAUUGGAAAGUUUGCCUUUGGCAAGCUCCACUAAUAAGACACAUUGUCUAGCCAAAGAGACCGAAAGGUGAGCUACCAAAAAUAAGUACAAACGUCUCCUGUGACGGGAUGGGGCAUAUCCUUGGCAUGUUCUCUGUUGUUAUUGUUGUCAUAAGUUUGGCAACUUGUUCGCUUCCUUGGGCUAACCGAAGCACAUUACAACUAAUACACUCAGACGACGUACCCAAAAGUUUCCUUGCGUCUCACAAAGAGCAUAAUUACCAACAACAUGGAAAAAAAUCAGCAAAAUUGGGCGAGGAAGCCAGUUGAAAAAGGGGGAAAGUCUCCGGGAAAAGGGGAACUUUUCCACAAAAUUAUUUGUGGUUGCUAUAGAUAGAAAGAGAGAGAGAGAACGAACAAGCGAGAGGGGCAAAACUUUGACAUAAAGAAAAGUUUGUGCAAACCGACUUAAAGAAAAUUAUAAUUACACGCACAGUCAGCCAAAUAGUCCAAGUUUUGGUCCUGAUUUUGCAUCGAGUUUUCUUCUCAGGGGAAAAUACUUUAAUUGCCGUUAGUUUUCGAAGUUUUCAAUUCGCAAUUUGGCCGCCAGGACAAAUGGCAGACAAACAAGAACAGAAAAUUAUGGAAAAAUAUUCACAAAAAAAAUAAAUGCUGGGAGGUAGGUUGGGAAAACCAAAUUUACGUGAACCAUGAUAAUUGGAGAGUUUAAUUAGACCA